GCGGCGAUAGCUCAGUGGUUAAAGCGCCAGGUGAGAAGUUGGCGAUUACUCCUAGAGCUAUUAUCCGCGCGGGUUCGAAUCCCGCCUGUGGCA
rnacentral:tRNA from 1 species